UUUCUGCCGGUCGCCUGGCUUCCUACUCCUGAGGAGUUUCUUUUGGGAUUAAUGCCUGAAAAAGUCAAGACAGAAUCCACUCACUGUACCUGAGGCCUCUCACACACACACACACACACACACACACACACACACAAACACUUUUUGUUUGGAGAUGCAGCGGAUCUUUUCGUUUCUUCUCACCUGGCAGAUACCUGGCCUGGCGGAGGUAGUGCUGCUUGGCGGACAAAGACGUGGAGUCAGUUCUCUUGAGCCCCGUGUUGCUUGCUGUGUCCAUCGAGUGUCCUGUCUCUCAGGGAGCUUCUGGUGGGUUUCUUGGAGAUGGAAACUCCAGCGUCCACGUCGUCGUCGUCGUCGUCGUCGUCGUCGUCGCCGUUGCCGUCGCCGUCGUCCCAGCUGUCGACGGACUUGAAAGACGUCUGGCCCCAUCGUCUCCGUCCAGUCCUGACUCCGGAUACGCUGUUCUCCGCUCCGGCGGCUGCUCCUCGCUGGUGCAGGGAGUAGGGGAGACCCGUUCUACCAGAGUGGGAGCAGAGGAGCCCACCAACCCUGUCAGCCCUGCUGAAAGAUGGGAUGCAAUUAACGUGUAAAUGCGUUUUAUUUGAUUUUGGAAAACGUUUCGAGAUCAUUUCCGGCCCAUCUUCCGGUCUGCGGCUGAACAUACAAAAUCGAAAGGCACCGCAUGUCAUCUUUUUUUUCUUUUUUGUGUGUUUGUUUUUACAUCAUACAUUUUGUUUGUCCAAAGCAUGUUGGAGUACUCUCUUCUUUGAAUGUUUUAAUGUACAUUGACCUGCCAAAUGUACCAAAUCCCUCAACAAACAGAGUUCGGGGGAAAUAAAUCAAACCUAUCAUUCGGCAAAGUCUUUCACACACAGAUCCAUGUGCUAUUAACCAUAAUAUGAACCUCUUGUCGUUGUUGACCCUGAUUUCACUGUCAUCAACUAAGCUUCUAUCUACUGCUUUUCCUUUUUAAACGCAGUUAACCAACGUGUUGCAGUGCAGGAGUGGAGAGAGUAAACCUCGAACAGACUUGCCAGACUUGAACAAAUUAGGGCCAGUGUAUUUAUAACAGACUGGGUCAAAGGAGUAAAACUAGUGCAAGUGCAGACAGUUAGAAAACGUAGCGACCCUUUUUAAUAUGGUGUCCUUUUUAAGGUUUUAUAAGUCAAAAUCAGUGUCUUUAUCAUUGGUUAUUAAUCAGAUUUUAAAUUUUUGGAUUUAUCCAUUAAUUCUCAGUCUCAGCAGUAAGGUCUGCAUCAUGGUCGGCGGCUGCAAAUGUCCACAAAGUCAUAAAUAAAAAGUAAGCAAGGUCACGGCAAAAGUUCUUAUAGUAAUCCAAGUCAAUGUCUGCAGGACUAUUAAUUAGUCUUUCAUAAAUAGACUGCGGUGUGGAUGCUUUGCAGCUCUUUUUUUUUUUUCAAAGGUCAAAGGUCAAACAGUCCAUUGGAGAUUAUUUCCCUGACUACAAGUUAGAAGACUUGUGCUUCAGGCUUAUUCAAUGAUCCAAACACCUUGAAUAUUAGAAUUAUUUUUCCUUCCGCCUCCAUUUUUUUCCCUUCUAAAAUUCAUAUGCAAUGUCUGGUACCAGCAAUUCCCAUACGCAUACCUAUUGUAUAUUAUAUAUAGUUAUUGUAUAUUAUUAUUACUUUUUUUCUAUUAUUGCCUCUAUGUUAUGCUGUGUUUUACUUCUACUCAUAGACAUUUCUUCAGCUCACUAGCACAGUCGUUCUUUAUCUAUUAGUCUAUUUAAACUACAUUAAGUGCUAAGGAGACAGACAGGCAGCCUCCUUAUCAAUGGCUUAUAUCUGAUCUCUGAAAAAUUAAUGAUAAACUAUCAUUAACUAUCAAUAGUGACAGUAGCCCUUUACAAAGAGUGCUUUAUUUAAAAUAACCUGGUUAUACAGUGAGAAUCUGAGUACAGAAGUUGAAAUAAGAUAUUUUCCCACUGUCCUCUCUAAUGCAGACCCGUGCUUGGAAAUCAGCCAUUAUUAUAUACCAUUACCCUUUAUGAAUAAACUCUAUCAUCUGAUUUAGAGAAUCAGCAGACAGCCAGCAACCCUGCUCCAAAGAGUAAAUACAGGAGCUACAGAGGGCAAAGUAAGCACAACUAUACCUGUCAAAUACUUAAGUCCAACAAAAUGAUCAAACAUAUAAUAAAGAAUUAGUUAGAGCAGUAGACCUACUGUACCACAGGAGACGUUUCCGUAAAGGUGACGGGGAUCGCAGUGAUGGUCGCUGUGCAGAGAUGCUCUCAGCUCCCUCCGUUUCCAGGGGCGGCUCCUGUCUCCUAGGCAACGCUCCGACUUUCCAAAAUAAAAUAAAAAUAAAUCCUAUUCUCCUUCUGAAUUAAGUACAAUGUGUCUAUUUACACCUUGUAAAUAUCUAAUGAUAUUUCAAAUGAUAACGGAAUACACAAUGGAAAAAUACACAUAGAUAAUAUGAGAUAUAAUAAAAUAAUAAGUUUGCUGAGUUAUAUGAAUUAAAUAGCAGAGGUUAACAUUUCACAUGUAUAUUUUUUUAUGCCAUUUAAAGAAGCAGGUCCAUUCAAUAGCUGUUCCCCAAUCGUACCACACAUUUUUUGUUUUGUUUCAAGAAGUCCAUGAAGUGCUCAGAAAGAAGAGGAAAAGUUAACUUGCAUGAAAAUGUACAAACUCCAUUUGCUGAUGAAGAUCAUGAGAC